ensembl:snRNA U6 U6 spliceosomal RNA
GUGCUCACUUCAGCAGCCUGUAUACUUAAAAAAAUGGGAAUGACACAAAGAAGAUUAGCAUGGUCCUUGUGCAAGGAUGACACACAAAUUAAUGAAGUGUUCCAUAUUUUU